CCUACGGGGGGCAGCAGUGGGGAAUAUUGGACAAUGGGGGGAACCCUGAUCCAGCCAUGCCGCGUGUGUGAAGAAGGCCCUCGGGUUGUAAAGCACUUUCAGUGAGGAAGAACGCCUGGUGGUUAAUACCCAUCAGGAAAGACAUCACUCACAGAAGAAGCACCGGCUAACUCCGUGCCAGCAGCCGCGGUAAUACGGAGGGUGCGAGCGUUAAUCGGAAUUACUGGGCGUAAAGCGCGCGUAGGUGGCUUGAUAAGCCGGUUGUGAAAGCCCCGGGCUCAACCUGGGAACGGCAUCCGGAACUGUCAAGCUAGAGUGCAGGAGAGGAAGGUAGAAUUCCCGGUGUAGCGGUGAAAUGCGUAGAGAUCGGGAGGAAUACCAGUGGCGAAGGCGGCCUUCUGGACUGACACUGACACUGAGGUGCGAAAGCGUGGGUAGCAAGCAGGAUUAGAUACCCGAGUAGUC
rnacentral:rRNA from 1 species